AGGAAUGAGGCCAGUUGGAAGAGCCACAGAGGUGUCCCUUUGCUCUGUUCUGAAAGCUUGGGGGUUGGGGGGAUCUAGCAGACCUCAGUCACCUGCUGCAGGAAGCGGAUGCUCAAACUGUCACCAGUCCCAGAGUGGUGCACACCUGUAAUCGCAGCAGUCAGGAGAUGCAGGUUGGAGGACCAGGAGUUCAAGGAUAGCCUCGGCCACGUAGGAAGUUUGAGGCCAGCAUGAUCAACAAGAGACUCUAUUUCAGAAAACCAAAACCACACGAUGACAAGAUGUUUCAACAGAUAAUAGACAAAUUAUCUGACUACAUAGUCUUUUUCCAUCUGGUAGAUAUCUUUAACCUCCAUGUUGUCAAUAUUCACAGACACACGCUGAAUAUUCAAAGACACAGCCUCCAUUUGGGGAAGGGCCUUUCCACCCAGCAAGAGGUUCAAGGGUCCAGGAGCCCCCAGGAAAGGCCUUGGCUCCUCUCAAUGUUUCUGCCUCUGGUUCUUAUUGUCACGGGUGCUGGGGAUGGGACCAGCAUAAGCUAAGCUAAGCAGGCAUGCUCUCUACCACUGAGCUACCCCCACUCCCAGGUCUACAUUACUCCUUUUCACAGUUCAGGCCUUAGAAUAGAAUCACUGUUUGAGAAAUCUUAAUCACGUUUGGAUUGCUCUGCACGCUUGCAGCCAUUAACCAGAAAUGAUGAGUACAGCAGGCCACCCUCUAAGCUCAGUUGCCUCUAAGAGAAAUAUUUAAAAAAAUUUUUUUUAGAUUUAUUUUUAUUUUAUGUGUGUAUUUUGCUUGCCUGGGUAUCUAUUCACUAUUCGUGUGCCUGGUGCCUGUGGAAGUCGGAGGAGGGCCUCAGAUCCCUCGGAACCGGAGGCAGUUGUGAGCUGCUAUGUGGAUGCUUGGAAUUGAACCUGGGUUCUCUGGAAGAACAGGCAAUGCUCUAAACAAUGGAGACAUCUCUCCAGCCCCCAAGAGAGCUAUUUUACCAGAGCUGUUUGUAUGACAUCUCCUGGCCACAGGAGACUUUUGUGGCACUUUCUGUGGUGUCCAGCACAGCGGGCCUCCUGUUCUGUCCUCUGCUCAGGGUGGAAGCAGAGGCAGGCACACCAUUUGAAACACUAGGUUGUGCAGGUUGCAGAGAUGAUUGGUGGUGACCGUGUUUAUGACAGCCAUGCCUUGGGAAUGUGGGGCGGCUGGUGUGAGCAUCUCACACCAGGUACUCACUACAAAUCAACUUCUACGAAAGGCUGGGGCGAGGGAGUGUGAGCGGAGAUGAGCACCACACUCCAAGUCAUUCGCUGUCGUCGGUAUGUUUCACUUGCCUUAGAGACAAAACCAGGACCACUGAUAGGACCAGCCUGAGGCCUGUCAUGGGCAUCAGAAGAGAUGAGCGUUCAUUCGGGAGACCAGACCUAGGAAAAAACCUGUUCUUGCCACUUUCCAAAAGUGAGCCAUCAUGACAUGGAUGCCACCAAUGGACCUCGAUGUCAGCUGUAGAGGUUAUCACGAUGUAAAGCAUGCUUUCUGUUGGUCUCUCUCUCUCUCUCUCUCUCUCUCUCUCUCUCUCUCUCUCUCUCUCUCUCUCUCUCUCUCUCUCUCUCUCUCGUUUUAACGGUCUUUGUAGGAGAAUGCUGUCAUCAACCUAAGUUACAAGGGGAUAUACUGUCUCCUGGCAAAACAGGCGUGAGCUGGGGCAGAGGUGAAUCUCCAAGUCUCUAAAGGAAGUCCUUCCCAGGUAGCUCCCCUAACCUGCCACCCUCAUCAACAAAUUCUCCUCGGGUACAACACAAGAGGCCACAGCACGGAGAGGCACGACUGCUCACUUAUCCAUCACUUAUCCAUCAUGUUAAAGAUUAUCUCGCAGGUUACUCUGUGGAAGGUGACACGGGCCCCCAGUGAACAUCAGUGUCCCCAUGUGCAGUCUGCACAAGGCAACUCAGCAGGGAGAGAGAGGUCCUUGUCUGCUGGCCCCGAGUGGGUGCCUGAGGAGCCACGUGAUGGGAGGAGGGGUCACUCCGGCUAUGGGGGCCUCUCACCUGACUGCUCUCCUGUACUAUGUCCUAAGUGCAGGACAUAGGCCUCGUGUUUGAACCACACCGGGACUCAGAAAGGACGGCUGGGCGUGGUGAUGGAUCAUGUCUGUAAUCCCAGCUAAGCGGGAGCCAGAACUAAGACAGGUAUAAGAGACAGAACCCAUUUUGGCUGAAUGGGCUUGCUAGCCCAGCUUAGGUUCGAGUUCAUGCUUUGUACAAAAGGACCUGCCUUGCCAAGCUGCUUUCAGUUCGUGUGUCCUUGUAUGACACAGAGGACAAUUUACCAGCUCAUCUAGGACUUCAAAUCUACCUGGGGGAGUGUCUCGAUCCCCCGCCGUGGGGAAGGUGCGCCCCACUCUCAUUGCGAUGACACCCGGGGUCUCCGCUGAACAACACUCCUUUAGAUAAUGAUCUUAGGACAGGAAGUCUCUCAGCAACAGAUGGAGGUGGGAGAAAAUGCCAUGGUGACCAGGAGAUUCUUGUUCCCAAGACCCAGGUAGGAAAUGCCAAGAGUGUCGAAGGUGCUCCUUGGUGUCUGGGGUGGGUGGCCCUUGGGGUUGAGUAAGAGAGUGAAUGAGACUCAUUGUCGACCCCGUGUGAAAAGAACAGAUGGACUCACAGCUCCACACGUGCCCCUGUGGAUUCUGAUUGUCAAGAAGCAUCUAACGUGGGUGCUGGGCAGUGGGGGAGUCAGCUGGAGAAGAAACCAAACGUAGACUACAAGGGACCUCCAUCACCAGGGGCUGAGAUACAAGAGGCCUCUAUAUCUGGGGUUGAAACAUGCCAGGAAUCCAGGACAGGAAGCAGCUAGGUUAAAUAUGGCUCUGAGGAAACGUGGCCCCCAGAGGUGGCUCCAAUUGUUCAGUAGUCACAGAUCGAUCUGAUCCGCUCACACCAAGGUCACUUCUCUUCCCCAGUUUCCCCUUGGGCUCCCCAAAUCACAGCGCCACCUACAGGCUCCACUUCCAAAUCACAGCGCCACCUACAGGCUCCACUUCCAAAUCACAGCGCCACCUACAGGCUCCACUUCCAAACCACAGCGCCACCUACAGGCUCCACUUCCAAACCACAGCGCCACCUACAGGUUCCACUUCCAAAUCACAGCGCCACCUACAGGCUCCACUUCUUCAUGAGCUCACUCCUUUCCAGCUUGUGCCUAGGAGCUGCAGGGAGAUUACAACAAGGCCCAAGGCCAGGAGAACACUGCCUAGCAUCUGCUCAGUUACAGUUUGAGACGUCUGCGCUCCUUGCCGUGAGAGCGUGGAAUGCCUUCUUUGCUUAAUUGCUUUUUUCCCCCAUUGCCUGGGUGACAUGUACUGCCUCUCCCUCCCUAAAGCCAUGCCUAACUUGGUAUCUGUCUUAGGGUUUCUAUUGCUGCCAUCCAUAACAUGACCAAAAGCAACUUGGGGAACUUUGCUGGGAUGUCCUGGAGGGGGACACUGAGGUCCUUCUUUCCCCCAACAGAUUCGUUCAUAAGUGGCCUACCCAUGUCUGCUGUGAAGCCGUAGCAGACACUGCCUGAGAGGCCGUGAGUUCUCACUCCGCUGACGGAGAAAAUGUGCGGGUCCCGGUUUUGCAUAGUAGCUUGUUUUCAGUCGUAUACAUGGUGUGUUCAGGACUCCUCUGAGCACCCGAGACAAGCCAUAGGCUGCUUCCCCAAGCAAUGUAGGAAGCAGCGACUGACCUGCCUGCCAUGAAUAAAGAUUAGGGCUGGGAACCUCUGA